AUUGAACGCUGGCGGCAGGCCUAACACAUGCAAGUCGAGCGGAGCGGCGGACGGGUGGGUAAGGCCUAGGAAUCUGCCUGGUAGUGGGGGAUAACGGCCGGAAACGGGCGCUAAUACCGCAUACUAUCAGAUGAGCCUAGGUCGGCAUAGCUAGUUGGUGGGGUAAUGGCGUACCAAGGCGACGAUCCGUAACUGGUCUGAGAGGAUGAUCAGUCACACUGGAACUGAGACACGGUCCAGACUCCUACGGGAGGCAGCAGUGGGGAAUAUUGGACAAUGGGCGAAAGCCUGAUCCAGCCAUGCCGCGUGUGUGAAGAAGGUCUUCGGGUUGUAAAGCACUUUAAGUGGGGAGGCGUUACCCACAGAAUAAGCACCGGCUAACUCCGUGCCAGCAGCCGCGGUAAUAC
rnacentral:rRNA from 1 species